UUUCAGCUGAACCGGUUUGGCUCAGUGGAUAGAGCGUCAGCCUGCGGACUCAAGGGUCCUGGUUUCGAUUCCGGUGAGGGGCACAUGCCCGGGUUGUGGGCUUGGUCUCCCGUCGGGGACGUGCAGGAGGCAGCCAAUC